CCGGGGGGAAUGGGCCAGCGCCCAGUGGUCACCUGGCCAUGUCUCCCCACAGCCCGGAAGCAGGAGAUCAUUAAGACCACGGAGCAGCUCAUCGAGGCCGUCAACAACGGUGACUUUGAGGCCUACGCGAAAAUCUGUGACCCAGGGCUGACCUCGUUUGAGCCUGAAGCACUGGGCAACCUGGUUGAAGGGAUGGACUUCCACAGAUUCUACUUCGAGAACCUGCUGGCCAAGAACAGCAAGCCGAUCCACACGACCAUCCUGAACCCACACGUGCACGUCAUUGGAGAGGAUGCCGCCUGCAUCGCUUACAUCCGGCUCACGCAGUACAUUGACGGGCAGGGCCGGCCCCGCACCAGCCAGUCUGAGGAGACCCGCGUGUGGCACCGCCGCGACGGCAAGUGGCAGAACGUGCACUUCCACUGCUCGGGCGCGCCUGUGGCCCCGCUGCAGUGAAGAGCUGCGCCCUGGUUUCGCCGGACAGAGUUGGUGUUUGGAGCCCGACUGCCCUCGGGCACACGGCCUGCCUGUCGCAUGUUUGUGUCUGCCUCGUUCCCUCCCCUGGUGCCUGUGUCUGCAGAAAAACAAGACCAGAUGUGAUUUGUUAAAAAAAAAAAAAAAAAAAAAA
rnacentral:sRNA from 1 species